rnacentral:lncRNA from 1 species
UCCUAAUCCUAGUCUUAGCUCCAUCGUACAUGUCCUUGAUUACUCUGAUGUAGGCUUAUGGCACGCUCUUCGCCUCCAAGCACCUCCAUAGCACCUCCUUGGGACCUUGUCAUACGCCUUCUCCAAGUCGAUAAGCACCAUGUGCAUGUCCUUCUUAUUAUCCCUGAACUGCUCCACCAGCCUCCUGACAAGGUGGAUAGCUUCUGUAGUGGAGC